GACGAACGCUGGCGGCGUGCCUAACACAUGCAAGUCGAGCGGAGAUACAUUGAAGAGCAAUCAGAUAUGUAUCGUUAGCGGCGGACGGGUGAGUAACGCGUGGGCAACCUGCCUCAUACUGGGGGAUAACACAGGGAAACUUGUGCUAAUACCGCAUAAUAUCAUUAUAGGGCAUCCUGUGAUGAUCAAAGGAGCAAUCCGGUGUGAGAUGGGCCCGCGUCCAAUUAGCUAGUUGGUGAGGUAACGGCCCACCAAGGCGACGAUUGGUAGCCGAACUGAGAGGUUGAUCGGCCACAUUGGGACUGAGACACGGCCCAGACUCCUACGGGAGGCAGCAGUGGGGAAUAUUGCGCAAUGGGGGAAACCCUGACGCAGCAACGCCGCGUGAAGGAUGAAGGUCUUCGGAUUGUAAACUUCUUUGAUGAGGGACGAACACAAUGACGGUACCUCAAAAACAAGCCACGGCUAACUACGUG
rnacentral:rRNA from 1 species